CCUGGUAGCGGGGGGUAACUAUUGGAAACGAAUAGCUAAUACCGCAUAAUAUUGAUUAUUUGCAUGAUAAUUGAUUGAAAGAUGCAACUGCAUCACUACCAGAUGGACCUGCGUUGUAUUAGCUAGUAGGUGAGGUAACGGCUCACCUAGGCGACGAUACAUAGCCGACCUGAGAGGGUGAUCGGCCACACUGGGACUGAGACACGGCCCAG
rnacentral:rRNA from 1 species